UUUGUUUUAUCUUGUAAGUUAUUUAAGGUUUGUUGUUGCUGAAUGUUGUUGUUAAGGUUUGUUUAGAAGAUGAGUUUAUUAUGUCUAAUAUGGUUUGAGUGUGUUUCCAAACCCUUACCGAAUAUAUAACUUUUCGUAUUGCAUUAGAGAAUUAUAAUAUGAUAUCUAAAGUUAUCUUAGAAAACAAGUUACACCAUUCAAUGCUAGACAAUAA
rnacentral:lncRNA from 1 species